rnacentral:lncRNA from 1 species
UUAUAUUUGACUCCUUAAUCUUUUAAAAAUUUUAAUUUUACUAUCCAAGCUUUUAAUUUGUUUGAUUUGAAUUAGUCAAUAUAAAUUUUGAAGUCAAAGUAUUGCUAAUGACUCAAAUCAAACAAAUUGAAAUAAAUUGAGAAGUUAGACGGUAAAAUCAAAAUUUUGAAAAAUUGAAUAGUCAAAUCGAAAGGAUUCAUACUUAUAUUGAGAAAGAGAAAGUCUAUUAUGUAAUAUUUACGUUACAUUAUUAAUAAUCAGCCAAUUAUAUUUUUUAUUUAAAAAUAUAAAAAUAUUUUUUAAUAAUUAUGAUAGUAUGGGUGAAUUUAAAAUGAACGAUCUAAUUGAUUAAAACAAAAUUUUAGAAUGCACUAGUUAUAUGGCAUCCCAAUCAAUCAAAUGAAUUCUUUCGAAUUAAUCCGUCGCAUUAUAAUUAUAAAAAAAAUACUUUUUUUUUAAAAAAGAUAGCAUGCUACCCGCUUUAUUUUUUUUUAAAAAAAAUAAACUUUAGUUGGAAAUAUGAAUCAACUAGGAUUCGAACUUGGGAUCUGGAAUACCAACGUCGGUAUAAAAAAAAUUUUAAAAAAAUGUAAUUAAUCUGUUAUUAUUGAGGUGAUGCAAGGAUGACAAAGUAAACUUUUUCGUUGAUUAGGAGAUGCAAUAUAUUUUUAGACGUUUUCCUGUCUGGUACCCUCGCGAACGAAAAAUUCUAAAAUGCAUAGGGUAUAUUUGUGAGGCGGCAUCCACAGGCAAUCAAAUAGCUUCUUUUGGGAUUAUCUGUCAAUAUUUUUAUUAUAUUUUUUAAAAUAUAAUUAAUUUAUUAUUGAUGAUAUAAUGCAAGUGUGAAAUAAUAGACUUCCGCCUGUUUUGGGGCGAACAAUAAAUUUUUAUCUUAAAAAUAAAAAAAUUUUGAGCUAAAUUAGGGCCCGUUUGGCCUAACUUUUGAAAAAGUGAUUUCUGAAAAAGUGAUUUUGGUUUAGAGAAUUGAUUUUGGUUAAAAGCUGCAGAGCGUUUGGCCGAGUUUAGAUAAAAGCGAUUUUUCAGAAGUGAUUUUCAAAAACUGUUUGGCAUAUAUUUUUUUUGAUGUUUAUAUAAAUUAAUAUUUUUAUUAAAUUUUAUUUUAAAAUAAUUUAAAAUCUAAAUUUAAAUUUGAAUUAAAAUUAAAAUUUUUAAAUUUCAAAAUUGUACAAAAUUAAAAAUGUCACGCCCCGGUUUACUCGUUUUUCCGGCUCGCUGACAGACCCGCCGUAUAUAUAGGUAUUUUUCCUGUAUACGAAGCGAAAAAGUAGAAGUGCCUGUAAUCAUACAAUACUACAAACAGUAGUAUAGAGCAGCUAGGAAAAUAAACCAGAAAUAAAAACUGCGGUUCCAAUACAUACAUGUCAUCCAGGUAUACAAACACUCGCUCAUGCGAGAAAACAACAACUGUAUGUAAAGACCCAAAAACUACAACUACUUGUAGCUGGUGCUCUCUAGCUCUGCGACUCGAUCGGAAGGGCUCUAACUCGCGACGCCCUUGCCACGAUCAAGAUCAGCAACAGCAUUAGCCGANUAAAUGAGCCGAACACGAGCUGAAUUUUUCAGCUCGUUUAAUAAACGAGCCGAACACGAGCUGGGGUCAGCUCGCUCGUGUUCGGCUCGAUAACAGCUCGAAUAGAUAAAAGUCUAAUGGAUAAGAUUUUAUAAAUUUAUUUUUUACAUAUAUUUAAUCUAAUUUUUUUUAAUUUACUGUUCGUUGGCUAGCUCGUGAGCCAGCUCGUGUUCAGCUCGUUAAUAAACGAGCCGAACACGAGCUGAAUUUUUCGGCUCGAUACUUUAACAAGCCAGCUCGUGUUCGGCUCAUUUAAUAAACGAGCCGAACACGAGCCGACCCCAGCUCGCUCGUGUUCGACUCGUUUACACCCCUAGUAACUAGCAAGUGACUUGUGCAAUGCAUGAAAAUUUAAAAUUCAAAAUUUUUUAAAACUCUAG